rnacentral:rRNA from 1 species
CCUACGGGGGGCAGCAGUGGGGAAUAUUGGACAAUGGGCGAAAGCCUGAUCCAGCAAUGCCGCGUGUGUGAAGAAGGUCUUCGGAUUGUAAAGCACUUUCGACGGGGACGAUGAUGACGGUACCCGUAGAAGAAGCCCCGGCUAACUUCGUGCCAGCAGCCGCGGUAAUACGAAGGGGGCUAGCGUUGCUCGGAAUGACUGGGCGUAAAGGGCGCGUAGGCGGUUGAUGCAGUCAGAUGUGAAAUCCCCGGGCUUAACCUGGGAACUGCAUUUGAGACGCAUUGACUAGAGUUCGAGAGAGGGUUGUGGAAUUCCCAGUGUAGAGGUGAAAUUCGUAGAUAUUGGGAAGAACACCGGUGGCGAAGGCGGCAACCUGGCUCGAUACUGACGCUGAGGCGCGAAAGCGUGGGGAGCAAACAGGAUUAGAUACCCCAGUAGUC